GUCAGAUUUGCUCUAAAUGCUUUGGUUUUUGAGUUAUAAGCCAAAAACUGCAUUUUACCCCUAUGUUCUAUUUUUAGCCAUGGCAGUCAUCUUGGUUGGUUGACAGGGUCACGCCACACAUUUUUUAAACUAGAUACCCCAAUGAUGAUUGUGGCCAAGUUUGGUUAAAUUUGGCCCAGUAGUUUCAGAGGAGAAGAUUUUUGUAAAAGUUAACGACGCCGGACG
rnacentral:lncRNA from 1 species